rnacentral:rRNA from 1 species
AUUGAACGCUGGCGGCAUGCUUUACACAUGCAAGUCGAACGGUAACAGGCCUUCGGGUGCUGACGAGUGGCGCACGGGUGAGUAAUGCAUCGGAACGUACCCAGAGGUGGGGGAUAACGCAGCGAAAGCUGUGCUAAUACCGCAUGUGAUCUGAGGAUGAAAGCGGGGGACCGAGCAGCAAUGUUUGGCCUCGCGCCUUUGGAGCGGCCGAUGUCGGAUUAGCUAGUUGGUGGGGUAAAGGCCUACCAAGGCGACGAUCCGUAGCUGGUCUGAGAGGACGACUAGCCACACUGGGACUGAGACACGGCCCAGACUCCUACGGGAGGCAGCAGUGGGGAAUUUUGGACAAUGGGCGCAAGCCGGUUCCAGCAAUGCCGCGUGCGGGAAGAAGGCCUUCGGGUUGUAAACCGCUUUUGGCAGGAACGAAACGGUGUCCGCUAAUACCGGGCGCUAAUGACGGUACCUGCAGAAUAAGCACCGGCUAACUACGUG